ensembl:lncRNA
UGGGGGAUCAACAUUUACAUUCCUCUAGGCAGAAUACCUGCAGAGUGAAGAAGAACCAAUAAAAGGAUGCAGCAAGAGAUGGUGGUCAAAUUUACUUAGUAGGAGAAAGAAGCUUAUUCCCUAUCACCUUCCUUCUUAUUCUCAUUUCUAAAGACAGGAACAGCAGAAGAUGGAAAGUCUAAAGUGGUUGCUCAUCUUUGUGUCAGAGGUUCUUCACAUCUCAGAAGGGACAUUGGGCUGUAGCAUUGCAUGGAAGUUGCCUUGGAUUGACACAUAUGGAGGCUAUUGAUUUGAGGCAUGGGGAAGCCCUUUGGGGCAUAUGGAAGACAUCUAGCUGGUCCUCUAAUCACCCCUGCCCCCUUAGGGACACACUGGUCCCAACAGGAAAUGGAAGGCAUAUGGCUUAUAUACACAGGAACUUGGCUCCUCUUCUCACCUGAGGAGGCUGAGAAAGAAAUAAUAGCAAAAAAGCAGUAAAUUAUGCUUUAUGCAGGGUGAAAAGAUUUUAGGAAACACAUUAGGGCUAUUCUAUUCACCUGUUAAUAAAUUUUAAGCAUGAGGUAAUUGAUUAAAAAAACAAAAAGAUUUUAUAUAUAUCGGAAACAUCGGAAACAAAAAACAAAAGACUGUAUGGUGUAAUAGCAAAAGCUCCAAGCAACACUCAUAAUAGGAUCACAGCCGGGACAUUUAUCUAUAUGAAGUCAUCAUGGAUAAAGCCCUUUGCCUAGUUGUGCUUCCAUUUCCUGAUCCAUAAAAGGGGCAGGACAUUACUGCUGCCCCACAGAAGUUGGUGAUGAAAUGAUUAUACAAACCAUGAAUAAGAGAAAUGCCCAGAACAUCGAUUGAAAGAAUGGGAACAACUAAGAACACUUGGAUGAGAAGUAGACAUGUAAGAGAAUGAAAACGAAUUCUUGUUAAAUGAAGAUGAAGACAUUUAUUUUAAAAAGAAAAUGGGAAAAUAGGAAAGACUAUGGACGUAAAAGGUAGAGAUAAUGGGUUUGAAUUUUCUGGCACAUUAGCCAUGUGACUCUGGGCAAGUCAUCUCAUUUAUCAAUUCCACCAGGGAACUAAGUGAUGGGCCCUUGGCGCAUUAUUUGCUUAGAAGGAAUUCUUUGGUCUGAUCAAAAGCAAAUAAACAACAAACAAACAAAAUCCCCCAAACAAAC